rnacentral:rRNA from 1 species
ACGGGAGGCAGCAGUGGGGGAUAUUGCACAAUGGGGGAAACCCUGAUGCAGCGACGCCGCGUGAGUGAUGAAGUAUUUCGGUAUGUAAAGCUCUAUCAGCAGGGAAGAAAAUGACGGUACCUGACUAAGAAGCUCCGGCUAACUCCGUGCCAGCAGCCGCGGUAAUACGGAGGAUGCAAGCGUUAUCCGGAUUUAUUGGGUUUAAAGGGUGCGUAGGCGGACCUUUAAGUCAGCGGUGAAAUACCACGGCCCAACCGUGGGGCUGCCGUUGAUACUGGGGGUCUCGAGGGCGAACGGCGCCGGCGGAAUAUGUAAUGUAGCGGUGAAAUGCUUAGAUAUUACAUAGAACACCGAUCGCGAAGGCAGCUGGCGAGGACGCGACUGACGCUGAGGCACGAAAGCGUGGGGAUCAAACAGGAUUAGAUACCCUGGUA